UACACUCCUGCGGGAGGCAGCAGUGGGGAAUUUUGGACAAUGGGCGAAAGCCUGAUCCAGCAAUGCCGCGUGAGUGAAGAAGGCCUUCGGGUUGUAAAGCUCUUUUGUCAGGGAAGAAACGGUGAGAGCUAAUAUCUUUUGCUAAUGACGGUACCUGAAGAAUAAGCACCGGCUAACUACGUGCCAGCAGCCGCGGUAAUACGUAGGGUGCAAGCGUUAAUCGGAAUUACUGGGCGUAAAGCGUGCGCAGGCGGUUUUGUAAGUCUGAUGUGAAAUCCCCGGGCUCAACCUGGGAAUUGCAUUGGAGACUGCAAGGCUAGAAUCUGGCAGAGGGGGGUAGAAUUCCACGUGUAGCAGUGAAAUGCGUAGAUAUGUGGAGGAACACCGAUGGCGAAGGCAGCCCCCUGGGUCAAGAUUGACGCUCAUGCACGAAAGCGUGGGGAGCAAACAGGAUUAGAUACCCCUGUAGUCCCAUG
rnacentral:rRNA from 1 species